AGUGAACGCUGGCGGUAGGCCUAACACAUGCAAGUCGAACGGCAGCACAGUAAGAGCUUGCUCUUACGGGUGGCGAGUGGCGGACGGGUGAGGAAUACAUCGGAAUCUACUUUUUCGUGGGGGAUAACGUAGGGAAACUUACGCUAAUACCGCAUACGACCUGCGGGUGAAAGCAGGGGAUCUUCGGACCUUGCGCGAUUGAAUGAGCCGAUGUCGGAUUAGCUAGUUGGCGGGGUAAAGGCCCACCAAGGCGACGAUCCGUAGCUGGUCUGAGAGGAUGAUCAGCCACACUGGAACUGAGACACGGUCCAGACUCCUACGGGAGGCAGCAGUGGGGAACAUUGGACAAUGGGCGCAAGCCUGAUCCAGCCAUACCGCGUGGGUGAAGAAGGCCUUCGAGUUGUAAAGCCCUUUUGUUGGGAAAGAAAAGCAGCAGGUUAAUACCCCGCUGUUCUGACGGUACCCAAAGAAUAAGCACCGGCUAACUUCGUG
rnacentral:rRNA from 1 species